rnacentral:tRNA from 1 species
CAAGAUUUAACAUAAAUUAAUGUGUCUCACUUACAUUGAGAAAAUAAUUAUAAAUAAUUAGUCUUGA